AUUGAACGCUGGCGGCAGGCUUAACACAUGCAAGUCGAGCGGAGUGAUGGUGCUUGCACUAUCACUUAGCGGCGGACGGGUGAGUAAUGCUUAGGAAUCUGCCUAUUAGUGGGGGACAACCUCGCGAAAGGGAUGCUAAUCCCGCAUACUUCCUACGGGAGAAAGCAGGGGAUCACUUGUGACCUUGCGCUAAUAGAUGAGCCUAAGUCGGAUUAGCUAGUUGGUGGGGUAAAGGCCUACCAAGGCGACGAUCUGUAGCGGGUCUGAGAGGAUGACCCGCCACACUGGGACUGAGACACGGCCCAGACUCCUACGGGAGGCAGCAGUGGGGAAUAUUGGACAAUGGGGGGAACCCUGAUCCAGCCAUGCCGCGUGUGUGAAGAAGGCCUUAUGGUUGUAAAGCACUUUAAGCGAGGAGGAGGCUCUUUUGGUUAAUACCCAAGAUGAGUGGACGUUACUCGCAGAAUAAGCACCGGCUAACUCUGUGCCAGCCGCCGCAGUAAAAC
rnacentral:rRNA from 1 species